UUCAAGGGUAAACUGUGGCUGUGAACAAGGAUGAGAUUCAGCUCACAGACAAAAAAAAUAAAAAAAUAAAUGUAGCCACUUCAUUUAAAUUUGUUGCUGCACUACCUGUAGGUCAGCUACAGGAGCUGUGUGGAGAGGGAUCCCACUGGCCCCAGGUUCUGCAGGAUUUACCUGGAUUCCGUGGUGUGCCUGAACCCCUGGAUGUGUUCAUCCAAACGGAAGAAUAGAGGGAAUAAAUCUGGAGUAUUUCUGCCGUGUCCUCUAGCCUGGCUCUACUGAGUCAUCACAUAAUGACAUAUUUAAUCACAUAAAUGUUUUCCCUAGUCCUGCACAUGUCUGCUUGACAGCACUGCCUCAAGAGCCCUGGAGUUUUCCAGCCAGCUGGGCUCGGAGCAAGGACAGUGGAUACUUGACAGUGCACAUUGAGAGUGGCCUUCCCAGCCUCUUCAGUCAGUCCCAAACAAGAUUUGAAU